UUGCUCGUAAACCCAGCAGAACAGAAUG
rnacentral:piRNA from 1 species